CAGCAGCCGCGGUAAUACGAAGGGUGCAAGCGUUACUCGGAAUUACUGGGCGUAAAGCGUGCGUAGGUGGUGGUUUAAGUCCGUUGUGAAAGCCCUGGGCUCAACCUGGGAAUUGCAGUGGAUACUGGGUCACUAGAGUGUGGUAGGGGAGAUUGGAAUUCCUGGUGUAGCGGUGGAAUGCGCAGAUAUCAGGAGGAACACCAGUGGCGAAGGCGACCACCUGGGCUCAUACUGACACUGAGGUGCGAAAGCGUGGGGAGCAAACAGGAUUAGAUACCCGGGUAGUCCCUGUCUCUUAUAC
rnacentral:rRNA from 1 species